UAGUCAAUGAAUUGGAUGUCUCUGCCGGGC
rnacentral:piRNA from 1 species